UACGUAGGGGGCAAGCGUUGUCCGGAUUUACUGGGUGUAAAGGGUGCUCAGGCGGAUUUGUAAGUCAGAGGUGAAACUCCGGAGCUUAACUCCGGAACUGCCUUUGAUACUGCAUAUCUUGAGUCCGGGAGAGGCAAGUGGAAUGUCUGGUGUAGCAGUGAAAUGCGUAGAUAUCAGACAGAACACCAAUGGCGAAGGCAGCUUGCUGGUCCGGUACUGACGCUAACGCACGAAAGCGUGGGGAUCAAACAGG
rnacentral:rRNA from 1 species